AUGCCGUCCUAAAUUGUUAUGCCAAGACUGUGACUUUAGCUUCAUCGCGUGUGCCAAUGAUAUCUUGGAAGGGUACAUUUUAUUCGGGUCCUAAGAGUGUCAUAUCUUAUGUUUAGGCUCGUAAAUUGGUUGAGAGAAGAUAUUUAUCUUACUUGGCCCAUAUCCGUGACACAAGUGUUGUUUCAUCUCCUUCCUUAGAUU
rnacentral:lncRNA from 1 species